rnacentral:rRNA from 1 species
UAUGGUAACAGAGACAAACGGGGGCAUUUGUAUGGUCCCGUGAGAGGUGAAAUUCUUGGACCGUGGCCAGACAAACUACAGCGAAAGCAUUUGCCAAGAAUGUUUUUAUUAAUCAAGAACGAAAGUCAGAGGUUCGAAGGCGAUCAGAUACCGCCCUAGUUCUGACCGUAAACGAUGCCAACUAGCGAUCCGCCGAUGGAAAUUAUAUUGCCUUGGUGGGGAGCUUCCCGGAAACGAAAGUCUUCCGGUUCCGGGGGAAGUAUGGUUGCAAAGCUGAAACUUAAAGGAAUUGACGGAAGGGCACCACCAGGAGUGGAGCCUGCGGCUUAAUUUGACUCAACACGGGGAAACUCACCCGGCCCGGACACUGUGAGGAUUGACAGAUUGAUAGCUUUUUCAUGAUUCAGUGGAUGGUGGUGCAUGGCCGUUCUUAGUUCGUGGAGUGAUUUGUCUGGUUUAUUCCGAUAACGAGCGAGACUCUAACCUACUAAAUAGUUGGUACAUACUCUUAGUGUAUACAGCUUCUUAGAGGGAUUUGCGGCGUUCAGCCGAAAGAAAUUGAGCAAUAACAGGUCUGUGAUGCCCUUAGAUGUCCGGGGCUGCACGCGCGCUACACUGGCAAAAUCAACGUGCUUGUCCUACCCUGAAAGGGGCGGGUAAACCAUUGAAAAUUUGCCGUGAUUGGGAUCGGAAAUUGCAAUUAUUUUCCGUGAACGAGGAAUUCCAAGUAAGUGCGAGUCAUCAGCUCGCGUUGAUUACGUCCCUGCCCUUUGUACACACCGCCCGUCGCUGCCCGGGACUGAGCCAUUUCGAGAAAUUUGGGGACCGUUGAUUUAAUUUUUCUAAAUUACUUUGAUGGAAACCAAUUUAAUCG